CCUCAAUCUAAUGUUUACGAGGCUGAAACCAUGGUUGAAGGAACACUGGAUGGAUUCUCAUUUGAUUCUGAUGAUGACGCUGACAAGAUGCCUAAAACCGUCACUAAUUAGACUGAUCAAAAUGAGGGCAAUGGAGAGCAAUCCAACACAAAAACUAAAACAAAAGCUGAAAAAACAUUAGGGGUCGUGCGAAAAAGGAGUGGUAAAGCUGCAGGAGGAAAGCCACCCAAGAAAGUAAGAAAGAAAACCCAAGCUCCGAAGAACAGCAAGACUAAGAAAUGAGAGAUGCUACUGAAUGUGAUAAAUUGUGGUGUGUGGGCCGACAUCAAUUCUCAUUGGUGAAGGAAGAAGUAUGGUAACAACAAUUUAUAUUCCAUAAUUUGUAUUUUUUUAAUUUUUAAUUUUGACAUUUGUCGAAUUUGAAAAAGAGCAACAAGAAAUUGUUCAGCAUGCCCUCUUUUUCUGGAGGGUUGUUAAAUUAUACAUGAAUUGCAAAUCAGGUUAAAGUCUGGACUUGAGAAACAAAUUACACUGUUAAAUUGAAUGGUGUGGUGCCUAACUAUGUAAAUUACAAUGAAAGUGAAUAAUGGUGAAAA